GAUGAACGCUGGCGGUAUGCCUAACACAUGCAAGUCGUACGAGAGUUUUUAACUCUAGUGGCGGACGGGUGAGUAACACGUGGGAAUUUGCCUUUAGGAGGGGGAUAACAAUUGGAAACGAAUGCUAAUACCCCAUAUGCUUUUGAGUGAAAUGGAUUUUAUCCGCCUAGAGAGAAGCUCGCGGCUGAUUAGCUUGUUGGUAAGGUAAGAGCUUACCAAGGCGACGAUCAGUAUCUGGUUUGAGAGGACGAUCAGACACACUGGAACUGAGACACGGUCCAGACUCCUACGGGAGGCAGCAGUGGGGAAUUUUCCGCAAUGGGCGAAAGCCUGACGGAGCAAUACCGCGUGAGGGAAGAAUGCCUAUGGGUUGUAAACCUCUUUUUCAGGGAGGAAUAAAAUGACGUGUACCUGAAGAAUAAGCAUCGGCUAACUCCGUG
rnacentral:rRNA from 1 species